rnacentral:rRNA from 1 species
UACAGAGGUCCCAAGCGUUGUUCGGAUUCACUGGGCGUAAAGAGCUCGUAGGCGGUUCGUCACGUCGGCUGUGAAAACCUGAGGCUCAACCUCAGGCCUGCAGUCGAUACGGGCGGGCUUGAGUACUGCAGGGGAGACUGGAAUUCCUGGUGUAGCGGUGAAAUGCGCAGAUAUCAGGAGGAACACCGGUGGCGAAGGCGGGUCUCUGGGCAGUAACUGACGCUGAGGAGCGAAAGCGUGGGGAGCGAACAGG